CCUCGCCUUUCUGUAAAUUUUGGAGAGAGAAAAUUUUUUUACCUGCACUUUAAGGUAAACAUUACUAACCUAAAAACUCUCCUACACAAAUAAGAAAAAUAUUACUAAAAAGGAUCUCCUAGAAAAUAAGGAUUCCCCAACCUAAUUCAUUAGAUAAGCACACACAUAAAUUAUAUACUCUCUCAGAACAACGACAUCAAACAUCAUAUAUUUUUGUCACGGUAGGGUAGCCAGAAACACCAAUCUUUUCAGAAGUUUCUAGGCAACAUAGUGUCACGACCCUCCUGAUACCCAGGCAGUUCGCGACCUGCCUAGGCAGCCAGCAGGCGCAGCAGGCGCAAGGGAGCAGGCUGACCACGCAGGUCAGCAGCCAAGGGGACCAGCAGCAGCUGAAGAGGCAGCAAUUACAAUAGUUACAGCCGCUACAGCUGUUACACUUGUUAGUGGGGCGGCUGUUUCAGGAGUUACAAGUCUUUGAGAGGCUUGUGCAGAUCAUGGGGCAGACUAGUCAAGGCUAGGAGUCCUUUUUGGAAGACUUAGGAGUCAUGCCUUGAGUACAUGAAUAGGGGCUUGUAUAGUUGUAUUUAUUUACUCUUAGGGGUUAGAGUAGUAUAAAUAGUAAGGUCAUUGUAUUUUGUAAAGCAUCCAACAAUUCAUUGACUAAUAAGAUACUAGUCCAUUCUUCCAAA